rnacentral:rRNA from 1 species
CAGUCGCCGCGGGAAUACGUAGGUCCCGAGCGUUGUCCGGAUUUAUUGGGCGUAAAGCGAGCGCAGGCGGUUAGAUAAGUCUGAAGUUAAAGGCUGUGGCUUAACCAUAGUAUGCUUUGAAAACUGUUUAACUUGAGUGCAGAAGGGGAGAGUGGAAUUCCAUGUGUAGCGGUGAAAUGCGUAGAUAUAUGGAGGAACACCGGUGGCGAAAGCGGCUCUCUGGUCUGUAACUGACACUGAGGCUCGAAAGCGUGGGGAGCAAACAGGAUUAGAUACCCCUGUAGUCCCUGUCUCUUAUACA